rnacentral:rRNA from 1 species
GUGGAUCCCUCGGCUUGUGGGUCGAUGAAGACCGCAGCAAACUGCGCGUCGUAGUGUGAACUGCAGGACACACGAACAUCGACAUGUUGAACGCAAAUGGCGGCCCUAGGCGCAAGCUUUAGGCCACACCCGGUUGAGGGUCGU